UACGUAGGGUGCAAGCGUUGUCCGGAAUUAUUGGGCGUAAAGCGCGCGCAGGCGGUCCUUUAAGUCUGAUGUGAAAGCCCACGGCUCAACCGUGGAGGGUCAUUGGAAACUGGGGGACUUGAGUGCAGAAGAGGAAAGCGGAAUUCCACGUGUAGCGGUGAAAUGCGUAGAGAUGUGGAGGAACACCAGUGGCGAAGGCGGCUUUCUGGUCUGUAACUGACGCUGAGGCGCGAAAGCGUGGGGAGCAAACAGG
rnacentral:rRNA from 1 species